CUAAUUUGUUGUCCUCCUCCAAUUCACACACUCUAUGCCAUCACUCUGCAUGUGAAGAAAGACAGGGAUAAGUGUCAAGUUCAAGAGAGAUUUCUGCAGACACUUACUUGGUAAUUGCUCUGCAAGUGCAGUUCCACAUGAACUUUCAAGCUUGCCUGCACUCUGCCUGAAAUCCCUGCCUGACUGAAAGAGGGAUUUAAAAGUCCUUGCAUUCCUUCAUCAGGCAUCACUAACAUGAGGAAAAACAACCAGGAACAAAAGUUCAAAGAAGAAUUUGUCUUAACACAGACACACACGAAUGUUUUAUGUUAAUAAAAAUUAAUUGCGAGGACUUUAUUUUUGGCCAGUCCUUCCAUCUGUAAUAAAGAAGCAGACAUCGCACUCAAGCUUUGAAUUUGCUGUAACUACAACAAUCUGUAAGAGCAGUUCUCAGAGCAACUGUCAGUACAAAGUAUAUCUUGCCUUUUGUUGUAUAAUAGAGGAGGAUGAAAAAAAAAAAAAAAGGGUGGAUAUACUUGUACACUGAAGUUGACAUGAAAAAGGGAAAGUCAACAGUAAUAAAACCAUACCCUGUGGAAAAAAUGCUGGUUCUUUUCUAGUUGAGCCAUAUUUUCACUUAGGAUGAAAGUGGCCUCACUUCAACAUUUGGCCUCUUUGGAAUGAGUAGGUUUUUUUUUCUUCUGCAGCUGCUUUAUCUGCCCUCCACUCAAUCUGUGCUGAAGAUGCCCAUGUGAGGAAGAGGGAAGAAGUGGCAGUAAUUUGUUAAUCAGAAUUUGCUUGCAGAGCAGUUUCUUAUGCCUGCAUUUGCUACAGAGAGCUGUUAAAAUUUUUUCUUUUACUCCAAGUUUCCAGGACUAACUUGAACAAAAACCAAGUACUGCAUGCACCAGUGAACUGCACUAUGUCAUUAGCAAGCAUUGGCUUUCAUGUUGCACAAAAUAACCAAUUUUUUCUCUCAGAAGAAAGUAUGUUAUUGGAUAUUACUUUGAAAUAGGAACCACACCAAAAAGCAGCCAAGAAAAAGGAGAAGUCACCAUAUUUUAGUAUAAGCAAUUAAUAGCUGUAUGUAUUCUUUUAGUGCAAUGGGAAAUACAAACAAGGAGUUAUGAUUUGUACACCUACAGAAUGCUUCUCAGUGCAUCAGUCCUCACAUCUGUAACUGAGACAUCAUUUACAGAAAGCAGCUAUUCACAUGAUUAAAGAAGUAUUCACUGCUAGGAACAUGUGUGUGCUCAUAAUAAGCCUGAAUACUCUCCUCACUGGAGGUUCCUCUUCGUAUUUUAAACAGUGAUUCUGCAUACAAAGCAUAAAAAAAAGAACAAGAAAUUACAUACCCUUUCUGUUCACCCUUGCUCAUGCACUCAUUACUUCCCAGUGGUAAUUACUAGCUGUAGCAUCAAGAAAGGAUUGUGAUCAUACCUGUGAAUUAAUUUCAAAAGGCAGGUAUUAAUUAGAAAGCAUGAUGGUAAGUCUAUUUAUACAUACUUGCUGGGACUGGACAGUUUGCAAUGAUGAGACAGGGAAUCAUAAACCAAUAGCCAGCAAGCCUAGCUUCUUUCAAAUAGUCAGAAUUUUAUUGUUACUAAAAUGUUAAGAUAAGAUUCUCAGCUGUUGGAAGUCAAUGGAAUUACUGCAAUUUACACCAGUCAAGCAUAUGGAUCUAUAUAUACAGUUAAAUACACCCUUCCUGAAUAACAAUAGUCAUUUCCCUGCAAACUCUGCAAUGUCUGGCAAUUAGAGCAAGAGACCAUGAGUCAGACCUCCUGAGAGUUAUUCUGA